GGUUCAGUAGACUGUUUGCUCUAAAUGAAUGGUUAUUGUCAUGGUGUAAAUAACAUAAACUGCUCUUUGCAAAUAACUGGAAUCUUUUCAGGGAG